rnacentral:rRNA from 1 species
CGUCAAAUCAUCAUGCCCCUUAUGUCUUGGGCUACACACGUGCUACAAUGGCUCAUACAGAGAGACGCGAAGGGGUGACCUGGAGCCAACCUCAAAAAGUGAGUCACAGUUCGGAUUGCAGUCUGCAACUCGACUGCAUGAAGCCGGAAUCGCUAGUAAUCGCGAAUCAUCAUGUCGCGGUGAAUACGUUCCCGGGCCUU